GCGACUUGCUUUGCAAUUUUUCUAAUCGCGCGCUAUCUCCCUCGAUCCUCUCGCUCGUCCCUGCGUACUUUACGCUCGUGUUAUCCUUAACCCAGUUGCUGGUGCACGCCAGCAACGCGCAGCACGCACCAACGACCAUCGGACAGAAAUUUCCACGCUGAUAAACGCGAGGAGGACUCGAAAACGAUCGACCGACAGAGUAUCGAUCGAACUUAAGAGCCCUCGAUUGGCGUACCUGCCGACAGAGGGCAUGUCGCGAAAAUACAACCGCGUUAUUCGCGGUCGUUGCGUUUUCACCUGACAGGUGAAUCGAUCAAAUUCUUCCGGCGUCCGCCCCGCCGCGCUUCCACGGCACCGCAAUCUCUUCCCGUCGACGCUUCCAAGAGACUUCGAUCGCGCCGCGACGGCGACAUCAGCGCUUCGCGUGCUUCCACCGAAU
rnacentral:misc_RNA from 1 species